rnacentral:RNase_P_RNA from 1 species
GCUACAAGCCAGGCUAUCGUCCCGACCGAAUCGUUGGGGAGGAAAGUCCGGACAGCACAGAGCAUUGCACCGGUUAAGAGCCGGGUCCCGACUCGUCGGGAACAGAUAGUGCCACAGAAAAUAACUGCUCACUCAUCCCCUCCUUGGAGGGGUAGGGGUGGGUAAGGGUGAAAACGUGAGGUAAGAGCUCACGUCCCGAUAUGGUAACAUAUCGCGAGGGUAAACCUUGCAUGCUGAAAUGCCACAUAGACCAACCCUUGAGAACUGCUCGUUCGAUGCCGACAGGCGGGUUGGUGGGUAGGCAGAUUGAUCCCGAUGAGUAAUUAUCGGGACAGAUAAAUGAUAGCGCCCUGAGUUUACCGAAGGGAACAGAAUCCGGCUUACAGGCUUGUAGCUUCU